rnacentral:rRNA from 1 species
GACGAACGCUGGCGGCGUGCUUAACACAUGCAAGUCGAACGGAAAGGCCCUGCUUUUGUGGGGUGCUCGAGUGGCGAACGGGUGAGUAACACGUGAGUAACCUGCCCUUGACUUUGGGAUAACUUCAGGAAACUGGGGCUAAUACCGGAUAGGAGCUCCUGCUGCAUGGUGGGGGUUGGAAAGUUUCGGCGGUUGGGGUUGGACUCGCGGCUUAUCAGCUUGUUGGUGGGGUAGUGGCUUACCAAGGCUUUGACGGGUAGCCGGCCUGAGAGGGUGACCGGCCACAUUGGGACUGAGAUACGGCCCAGACUCCUACGGGAGACAGCAGUGGGGAAUAUUGCACAAUGGGCGGAAGCCUGAUGCAGCAACGCCGCGUGCGGGAUGACGGCCUUCGGGUUGUAAACCGCUUUCGCCUGUGACGAAGCGUGAGUGACGGUAAUGGGUAAAGAAGCACCGGCUAACUACGUG